UACAGAGGGUGCGAGCGUUAAUCGGAAUUACUGGGCGUAAAGCGUGCGUAGACGGUCAUGUAAGUCGGGUGUGAAAGCCCCGGGCUUAACCUGGGAAUUGCAUUCGAGACUGCAUGGCUAGGAUGCGGAAGAGGGAAGCGGAAUUUCCGGUGUAGCGGUGAAAUGCGUAGAUAUCGGAAGGAACACCAGUGGCGAAAGCGGCUUCCUGGUCCAGCAUCGACGUUCAGGCACGAAAGCGUGGGGAGCAAACAGG
rnacentral:rRNA from 1 species